rnacentral:pre_miRNA from 7 species
GACCGCCAGUGAAAAUCGAUUUUCACUGGCGGUCGGCAUAAUAAAACCGCCAGUGAAAAUCGAUUUUCACUGGCGGUC